CAGAGAAUAGUUUAACAGAAUCCUAGCUUUGGGGGCUAGGGGUAGGCGUUGAAGUCGCCUUUUUCUGA
rnacentral:tRNA from 1 species